UGACCGUCCACUCCACCGCUGGUCGUCCCGAUUCCGAUCGGGGCGGCAAGAGGAAAGUCCGGGCAACGCAGGGCACCACGCCGGCUAACGGCCGGGGUUCCGCAUCGAUUCCCAUCGGUGCGGGAUACGGAAAGUGCAACAGAAAGCAAACCGCCCUGCUCCCGAGCGAUCGGGGCAGGGUAAGGGUGAAACCGUGGGGUAAGAGCCCACGACUUCCCGUAGCAAUACGGGAUGGAGGUAAACCCCGUGGGUUGAAAUACCAAACAGCGCUCAAUGGCCGGCCCGGUCUCCCGAUUGCUAUCGGGAAAGAGCGCGGGUAGGUAGAUAGAGCCGUCGGGCAACCGCCGGCCUAGAUAAAUGGUGGAGCGCCCCUCCCCGGAGGGGCUGACAGAACCCGGCUUAUCGGAACGGUCACUUU
rnacentral:RNase_P_RNA from 1 species